UACAGAGGGUGCAAGCGUUAAUCGGAUUUACUGGGCGUAAAGCGUGAGUAGGUGGCUCGCUAAGUCGGUUGUGAAAUCCCUGGGCUCAACCUGGGAAUUGCAGUCGAUACUGACGAGCUCGAGUUCGGUAGAGGGUGACGGAAUUCCCGGUGUAGCGGUGAAAUGCGUAGAUAUCUGAAGGAACAUCAGUGGCGAAAGCGACUUCCUGGACCAAUACUGACGCUCAUGUGCGAAAGCGUGGGGAGCAAACAGG
rnacentral:rRNA from 1 species